CUGGGUGUUCAGGCAUGCCCAAAUGACCAAAGGCAUGUCAGAGUACUCUGAACUGAUAUCCUGGGACAAAACAGUAAAAAAAAAACUGUUCCCUGAUUAAACCCUUUUACUUUUAAGAUUCUUACCAGAAAUGGAGUGGUCUCAUCUUGUCUCAUACGCCUGUGCUACUGAUGAAAGGCUUGUGGAGGACACAGAGCUAGGAGCUGCUAACCAGUCCGGGUGUCAGACCAAGAGUGGAUUAUACCACCAAGUAAAACAAGUAUCAGACAUUCAUGAUCUUCCCUGAAGAUAUGUACAGCUGAACACAACCUUGAGGAAACAUCAAUGCUUGCAUAACCACUUAGCCUGUUGGAAGAUUGUUAGGAGAUUUGCCUUAGACUCUCAAAGAUUUCACACAAGGUAUGCGUUUGCAUUGAAAAAAUAGCUGAUGUUAGUGCAGAGCCAGAACCUUUUCCCAUUAUCCAAGAUGCCUUGGGACCUUCCUGUUCUGAUCAUGAUUGAAGCGCAUAGUAGUAUUCUACCAAAUGUGACUGGAGCCCUCCUCGCUGUGAAUAAAGACAUUUGGGAUUUCUCAUUUGCUGAAGGUAGUCUCAGAACUUCCCAUUCUGAGAAGAGGUUGUCAGGACUUCCCUGUUUAUAAGAGACCUCAUGUAUACUUUGUUUAUUGAAGUUUUCAUGAGAACCACCCUGGGUCAGACUGGGCCAUCAUCCUUCCCUCCAUUAAAAAUGUGUACUUACACCUUAUCCACCUGUACAAAGGAGACUAGGAAGCACUGUCUUUGACUCCAGGAAACUCAUGCAUUUCUUUUAUUCACAAGGUGACAUUAGAGAUGUUAUUUUGAAUAAUACUGCAUCCUACCUUGUAGGAUUCUAUCAAAAAUC